GGGGUUGUGGCUCAGCGGUAGAGUGCUCACCUGGCAUGUGUGAGGCCCUGGGUUCAAUCCUCAGCACCA
rnacentral:tRNA from 1 species